UUUAAUUAAAAUUUAUAUGGCUGGUAUUUACCCGAGGUAAAAAGAUCUAAUUAUUAUUUAGUUGUUCGGCUUAAAAAUUAAAUAAUGUAGCAAAAUUAUUUUUAAAAUAAUAAUUAGGAGUGAAAGGCUAGCCAAUUUUUACUGAUAUCUGGAUUAGGCUUAAAUAUAUUUAGUAUAAAAGACACUUUUGAAGUGCCAAGAUUUCAAAAACAAAAAAGAUUUCAUUUUCGAUAUUUCCUUUUAUUAAUAUAAGAACGAGUAAAUAUUAACUGAAAUUAAAUAGACAGAGUCUUUUAAUUUAUAAGUCUUUAAGAAAUUGUAUAACAAAAUAAACGCUAAAAUAAUGUUAAAAUAAGUAUAAAUAUAAAAAAGUAAUAAGGAACUCGGCAAAUUCAUUCUCAACUGUUUAUCAAAAACAUAGCUAGUGGUAUUGAUCAUUAGUCUGCUCUGCCCGGUGAUAAUUUUUAACGGCCGCAGUACACUGACUGUGCAAAGGUAGCAUAAUAAAUUGGCUUUUAAUUGAAGUCCGGAAUGAAUGAGUUUUUGGGAAAAAGCUGUCUUAUCAUUUUUAUCAUGAAGUUACUAAGAAAGUGAAAAUACUUUCGGUUUAAUCAAAAGACGAGAAGACCCUAUAAAUUUGUAUUACAGGAUAAGUACUUAAUCUACUGUUUUUGUUGGGGCAACAGGUCAACAUUUUCAUUAAUUUGAUUAAAUAAUUUUAAUUUUAACGAGUUUUACUAGAUAUAUCUAAAUUACUAUAGGGAUAACAGCAUAAUUUUAUUAUAAAGAUUGUGACCUCGAUGUUGGACUAGGGACUAUUCUGAUCAGUAAUUAGAAUAGAUUGUUCUGUUCGAACUUUUUACCCU
rnacentral:rRNA from 1 species